ACCUGGGUGGCUCAGUCGGUUGAGCGUCCGACUUCGGCUCGGGUCAUGAUCUCACGGUUCGUGAGUUCAAGCCCCACAUCGGGCU
rnacentral:tRNA from 1 species